UCGACGAGAUCAUCUGUGCCCUUCAAUUUCAAGGUCCAGGAGCAUUUUAGAAGCAUCUAUUUCUCUGUUUUGAUUUUUGUUUUCAUUUUUGUUUUUGUUUUCAGACAGGGUCUCAUGGAGUUCAGUCUGACCUCAAAUUCACUCUCCAGCCAAGGAUGAUUUUGGAUUUGUGAUCUUCUUGCCCCUCUUCCCAAGUGCUGGGACUACAGGCAUGUGUCAUCACGCCAGUUUUAUGUCGUGUUUGGGGAUGAAACCCAGAACCUCAGCUAAAUCUCCUCCUCCCAUCGUGAGGGGCAGGGCUCCUCCUGACUUGAGACUGGACAAGACAUGCUUUGUGAUGGACAAGCCCGACUGUCAAUUUGUUGGAUCUGGAAUCAGCUAUCCUGUUGUUGCGGUUGCUGGUGACACCACCUCCAUCCAUCAGUACCAUCAGAACCCAAAACCUCAUAGGCCUUCACCUGGACUGAAGACCUCCAGUGCCAGAUCGGGACUGCUGGGAUAUCCAGCCUCAUGGACCAGACAGCUUCUAGGCUCUCAUUCCUCUCCAUCAUACAGAAAGUCAUUGUUGGACUACCCGACCACUAUUGUGUCCCUGUGGCCAGUCUUCAGGUGGAAGCUGUACAUCCAGACUCGCUGGAUCCUCAGGACUUCAGACUCAAAGUAGAACUAAGCCAGCUGCUUUCCUGGGUCUCCUGCUGAAGAACUUAGUCUGUACAUUAUGAGACUUGUUGUCUCCAUGAAUGAGUGAGCCAGUUCCAUUUGCCAUAUUAAUCGUUCCCUCUCUAUAGAUUGACAGAUUAAAUAGAUGUGUAAAUAAAUAGGUAGAUAGUAGAUAGAUAGAUAGAUAGAUAGAUAGAUAGAUAGACAGAUAGAUACUAGAUUCUACAGAUGAUUGGUGUAUAUAUACAGAUGACAGACAGACAGAUAGAUAGAUAGAUACCACUUAUUGGUACUAGUUUCCUGGAGCUCCCUGACUGAUACACUCCCCUGAAGUUGGUAGAAUAUUUAACAGUUGCAGAAUCCAUCUACCCACAUUAAUUCUACUGCAGACUGUUCCUCCCUCCCCUCACCCCAGUGAUUCCUGACUCCUACAACACAAGGCAGCAGCCAGACCUAAGCUGGAGUACUGGUUUCACAAACAGCUCUAUGGCCUUGGCAAGUUAGCUGUCCUUGCUGGGUCUCAGUGUCCACACUGUGAAAUGAAAAGAGCCCCCCAUGGAAGAUCAUUGAUAGAUCACUAGACAACACACAAAGGGUCAUCCACAGUACCUGGCCCUACACUCAGCAAAACACAGCUUCUCACGAUUGUGAUUAGGCAUGGGUGUGGGGAGGCUGCAAAGAGACCAUAUUCUGAAGAACUUCCUUCGUCAGAAAAGACUCUGGGAGGAGCCUGAAGGCUUGCAGAGUGACAGCACAAGCUGGCUCUGACCACUCAGGGCCCCCAGCUGAGUUCUGCUGUGUUGGCCCUCACCGGUGUAGCAAAAGCAUAAGCUCUCAGAAUAAACAGAGCAUUGCUCUCCUCAUCCUCUCCCAGGACUUGCACUGUGAGGAUUUUCUUUUGAGGAAACUGAUAGAGACAAAAGAAAAGUGAAAAUCAGCAGUCUUGGGGAAGAGCUUGUCCAUCCUUUUGCAGCCCCCUGUUCCCACCCUGAGCUCAGCUCCUCCCAAGUGAUGCUGAGUAGGUAAGGAGUUAGGCAUGAUGCAACCAAGGAAAACUGUGUGUGUCUUGGUAGCUGUGUGCCUAAUGGUCAAGUUGGCCUUUGUGGUUAAAUACCCAUGGAGUUUGAAGAUAGGUUGUUCUCACUAUAGCGUAAGGUGCCAGGGGACUUUCUCACCCUGUAUCCACAAAAGACCCUGACUUCAUUAUCAAAUAUACUGUGGUUUUGACAUCCCUCAUGGGCUUUUCCAAAGUAUCAUGAGAAGAAAUAUUCUUUUUCAAAGGAGAUCUGGCCCACCAUGACUUGGGAGGAAAAAGGGGUCACAUUGCCCUGUGAAUAAGGCACCCACUUCCUGAACACUCAUUAACAACUUCUUGAAAUUUCAUAAUACAAAGUCCAACUUAGCUGCUUUCCUCCUCUCCAGGACAGUACCUUCCAGCCUGUCUCUGAAGUACACGCUUUGCUCUGCUAAAUAAACUUCUGUUUAAACUGUGUCUGUGUCUCU